UACGUAGGGGGCUAGCGUUGUCCGGAUUUAUUGGGCGUAAAGAGCGUGUAGGCGGCCAGGUAGGUCUGGUGUGAAAACUCGAGGCUUAACCUCGAGAUGUCAUCGGAAACCAUCUGGCUAGAGUCCGGAAGAGGAGAGUGGAAUUCCUGGUGUAGCGGUGAAAUGCGUAGAGAUCAGGAAGAACACCGGUGGCGAAAGCGUUCUGCUAGACCUGUACUGACACUGAGGGACGAAAGCUAGGGGAGCGAAUGGG
rnacentral:rRNA from 1 species